UACGGGGGGGGCAAGCGUUGUUCGGAAUUACUGGGCGUAAAGGGCUCGUAGGCGGCCAACUAAGUCAGACGUGAAAUCCCCAGGCUCAACUUGGGAACUGCGUCUGAUACUGGAUGGCUUGAAUCCGGGAGAGGGAUGCAGAAUUCCAGGUGUAGCGGUGAAAUGCGUAGAUAUCUGGAGGAAUACCGGUGGCGAAGGCGGCAUCCUGGACCGGCAUUGACGCUGAUGAGCGAAAGCCAGGGGAGCAAACGGG
rnacentral:rRNA from 1 species